rnacentral:rRNA from 1 species
AGAACGAACGCUGGCGGCAUGCCUAACACAUGCAAGUCGAACGAGACCUUCGGGUCUAGUGGCGCACGGGUGCGUAACGCGUGGGAAUCUGCCCUUGGGUUCGGAAUAACAGCGAGAAAUUGCUGCUAAUACCGGAUGAUGACGUAAGUCCAAAGAUUUAUCGCCCAAGGAUGAGCCCGCGUAGGAUUAGCUUGUUGGUGAGGUAAGAGCUCACCAAGGCGACGAUCCUUAGCUGGUCUGAGAGGAUGAUCAGCCACACUGGGACUGAGACACGGCCCAGACUCCUACGGGAGGCAGCAGGUGGGGAAUAGUUGGACAAGU